AAUAUAUGCAGUGUUCUGAGAUUUUUUUAUCAUUCAAUAUUAUAUUCCUAAGAUUUAGUCAAUCCGAUUAUACAUACUUUGUUCUUUCUUUGGCCGCACCAUGCGGAAGUUCCGAGGCCAGGGAUGGAACCCGGGCCAUAGCUGUAACCAGAGCCAGAGCAGUGACACCCGAUCCUUAACCCGCUGAGCCACAAGAGAUCUCUCAAUUCUAGAUACUUUGAAGCUUCAUCUUCACGCAGCUUCUUCAGAUCACAAAAGCACUUCCCCUCUCUGAACGCCUCUAAGAGUCACUUUUUUUUGGUCACUAUUUUUAAAAUGGGUUGAAAUUGUACUUUCACUUUCCCUCUAUCUUAACCAGCAUCAGCUCAAAAUCCUUGGAGAGCAGGGAGACAGCUUAUCAUAGUUGAAAAGCAUUGAAUGGGUGGCCUGGGUUCCAGUCCCGGUGUCACCCUCACAGGCAGUGGGCCUCGUCCCUUCGCCUUCCUGACCCUCCACUUCUUUACUUUAACCUAACUGGAGGGGGUUUUUUGUUUUUUUGCGAGGAACUCCUGAGGUAGUGAAUACAAAGCGCCUCAUAAACUGCAAAUUAAUAUUCACGUCACCGUCACCGUUGGCCCGCAAGUUUCCAGAGGGGCCUCUGCAAACAGGACCAGGCCAGUGGCUCCCUGUCUAUGCUUGGGGAUGGCCUUACCGCCCCUGAGGGCAGGGACCAGGUAACUUUCCUUUCUUUGAGAGCCUCCAGGCAGCGGCAAGUCGAGCUGGAAGGUCGACGGAGGCUGAACUUCUGGGUAAUAUGCCAGGAGGCCAGAGGGCGCUCCCACACUCUGGAAUUGGGCUGGGAGAGGCCGUUAGAUUUACGCAUGCGCAACCCCUCCCCGAGGCCCGGGUGAGACCCAGCCAAAAUUGGUUCGCUCCGCUCGGGUUUUUUCCAUAUAGGGGAAUAAAUCUUCUGUGUACGCAUGCGUUCUGUACAGACUGCGAUUGGAUAAAGGUCCCGUCCGUCCCACCGAAAGAGCCAAUAGAGUGAGCCUCAAGAAUCACUCCCGCCCUACAGUGGGAGGUGCUGGGAGUGGAUUUGGGUCUUUGUCCGCACGCAUAACCGUGUGCACCAACCCGUUGAGAAGUCCGAGUCGGCGCGCGCUUCAAGCUUGGAAGUGUUGGCUCGUCCGCUACGGAACGAUUGCCUUAUUUGCUCUGUCAUACCGGGAGGGUGAAUGAGGGAGUGAAGGGGCCAGCGUAAAGGGCGGCGGGGUCAGCGCUGUCAGCGCUGUUUCUGGCAGCAUCCGCGUGGUAGUUGCCUGCCAGUCGUUUGUUGAACCAGACGCUGCCCGAGGCGCUUUGGCACGAUGGAGAGUCUUCCCGAAUCCUGAACCACUUCAUGGUCCCCACCUGGCACUGGCUGGCAGAGCAGGGAUUGGGCCCCAAGGCGCCGAGGCCCAGCUAAGGGUGGAGACUUGGUCAAGUGAAGGCGGGUCUUUGCAGGCGCGUGAUCUCCCUGGAGGCGGGGCCCACCCCUUCUCCCUUGGGCCGCACGUCUUCACCAGCUUUUAUUGGGCACGUGGCGGCUGAUGCGCCGUAAACGGGAGGUGACUCCUGGCGGCCACGCUGCGAAGGUGGGGGACCUCACUUUACAAGAUACCAAAUAAACUGCCUGAGCGAGGCCAGUGAGCUGUAAACACGUGGAAACGAAUACAAAGCAAAUCAAUCCAACUGGAUGCAAUAAAGCCUGGGCUUAACUAGACUUAAUUGGGAACUGUGUGAAGCACUGUGGGAAGAACCCGAGAUCUACCUUUUCCUUUUGGGCCUAGGGUUUACUGACUAUGAAAUAGAACAGGGAAUACUGAAUAAUUUAAAUUUUCAAUUAGAAACAGUCUGUAUGGGCUCAGUAAGGAGCCACUGUGGAGCCUGGGGUGGGGUCGCCUUAUGUCCCUUUCACAUCCGCUUGCUGUUCCUGAAACAAGUUUCCACAAUCACAAGGCUGGAAAAGUUACUCAGCCCAAGGGACUGAGGAGUGAGUCACAAGAACAUGAGCUACAGGGAACUGCCUGGCCUCCUUGGCUGGAACAAUCAGAUACCACUCUUUGCUUCCCACCUCCUCAGAGCCACCUCUGUGGCUAGGAGCCCACUGGGUGCUAAUUCUUCAGUGGAGUGAUAACUAGAAGAAAUUGGAACCCACUCUCCUCAGCCCCAUCGGAUCUGGUGCUGGAAAGUAGGGGAGAAGCUGCAGAACGUCACCACACCCUUGAGGGAAAAAAUAAUUCUUUGUAGUUUGUAGCACUCCAGUUUAUUAAAGUGCACUUUCACAUGCAUUAUCUCAUUGUAGUCUGGCUGAACACAUACUGUGUGCCAGGCACUGAGCCAGACAAAAUGGGUGAGGCAGUGAAUUUUUAAGAGGCGCUUCAGUCCAGUUGUAGAGAGAAAAUAGAAACUAGUACCUACUAGAAUAAGGUAGGAGCUAUAAAGAAGGGGAGAAUUCCUAAGACAUUUCAUAAGAGAAGGAUACCAUAGCCAGCUGUGUGGGAUGGGGGAAAUUAGGAAAAGUUUAAUGGAGGGAAAGUUGUAGGAGUAAAAGUGUAAAGGAUAGGAAAGUUAUCAGAUAGAACUAGAGAUGUAGGAUGGUUUUUUUUGCCCCCAGACCUCUUCUUACCCAAGUCAUGUCU